rnacentral:rRNA from 1 species
UACGUAGGGUGCAAGCGUUGUCCGGAAUUAUUUGGGCGUAAAGAGCUCGUAGGCGGUUUGUCGCGUCUGCUGUGAAAAUCCAAGGCUCAACCUUGGACCUGCAGUGGGUACGGGCAGACUAGAGUGCGGUAGGGGAGAUGGGAAUUCCUGGUGUAAGCGGUGGAAUGCGCAGAUAUCAGGAGGAACACCAAUGGCGAAGGCACAUCUCUGGGCCGUAACUGACGCUGAGGAGCGAAAGCGUGGGGAGCGAAACAGG